rnacentral:rRNA from 1 species
GUAGGUGCAAGCGUUGUCCGGAAUUAUUGGGCGUAAAGCGCGCGCAGGCGGUUCUUUAAGUCUGAUGUGAAAGCCCACGGCUCAACCGUGGAGGGUCAUUGGAAACUGGAGAACUUGAGUACAGAAGAGGAAAGCGGAAUUCCACGGUGUAGCGGUGAAAUGCGUAGAGAUGUGGAGGAACACCAGUGGCGGAGGCGGCUUUCUGGUCUGUAACUGACGCUGAGGCGCGAAAGCGUGGGGAGCAAACAGGGAUUAGAUACCCUGGUAGUCCACGCCGUAAACGAUGAGUGCUAAGUGUUAGGGGGUUUCCGCCCCCUUAGUGCUGCAGCUAACGCAUUAAGCACUCGCCUGGGGAUACGGCCGCAAGGCUG